AUUGGGUGAUAUGGGGGCCCGGCGGUGGAGUGUAGCAGGGAUUCGCCCUCGGGGCGGGGCCUGGAGGCUGGAGUUGGCCCCGCGCAGGGACCACGGAUAGGUGAGGCAGUUCGUCAGGGAAACCGGACCCGCCUCAGCCGGGAGCAGGUGGGAAGACAGAGGACCACUCUGACUCGAACCAGAAGGCACAGGGCAUGAUGGGGCUGGUGCGGCGGACACAGCUCUGCUCUUCCGAGACCUGAACCUGGGCACCUCCUCAUGGCUCAACUCUUUCCGGGAGCUGGGAAGGCACAGGUCUCACAGGAGCUCAAUGCUCAUGGCAGGCCUUGUGUAGAAGUGAUGGGACAUUGAGAUGAGGCCAUUAAGCAGUUCUCCAUCCUGGCUACACAUUAAAAGUAUCUGAUCACCCCAGGAUGACCCCUGACUGGUCCCCCUGGACAUCUCUGCAUUGUCAGCACCAGGAACCUCUUCUCAGUAUACAUGUCCAACAACCUCAUCAUCAGGGAAUGUCUGCAGAGUCUGGAUUGGGGGAAAGGAAUUCCAAACUUUUGAUGUGGUUCUCAAUGGCCCCAUUGCUCCUCCACAAGGGCCUCAAACAGGAAAAUGGCUAUACAUGUUCAGAGACUGAAUAAAAGAAAGAAAGACGGAUAACUGGGUGA